GAGAACCGAUACCGCGAGGUGGAGGAAAUCUACAAAACUGGGCCCAGUUCGGAUUGGAGGCUGCAACUCGCCUCCAUGAAGUUGGAAUCGCUAGUAAUGGCACAUCAGCUACGGUGCCGUGAAUACGUUCCCGGGUCUUGUACACACCGCCCGUCACAUCAUGGAAGCCGGUCGUACCCGAAGUGCAUGAGCUAACUUUUUAAGAGGCAGUGCCCUAAGGUAAGGCUGGUAACUGGGAUGAAGUCGUAACAAGGUAACCGUA
rnacentral:rRNA from 1 species